GACGAACGCUGGCGGCGUGCUUAACACAUGCAAGUCGAACGGAAAGGCCCUGCUUUUGUGGGGUGCUCGAGUGGCGAACGGGUGAGUAACACGUGAGUAGCCUGCCCUUGACUUUGGGAUAACUUCAGGAAACUGGGGCUAAUACCGGAUAGGAGCUCCUGCUGCAUGGUGGGGGUUGGAAAGUUUCGGCGGUUGGGGAUGGACUCGCGGCUUAUCAGCUUGUUGGUGGGGUAGUGGCUUACCAAGGCUUUGACGGGUAGCCGGCCUGAGAGGGUGACCGGCCACAUUGGGACUGAGAUACGGCCCAGACUCCUACGGGAGGCAGCAGUGGGGAAUAUUGCACAAUGGGCGGAAGCCUGAUGCAGCAACGCCGCGUGCGGGAUGACGGCCUUCGGGUUGUAAACCGCUUUCGCCUGUGACGAAGCGUGAGUGACGGUAAUGGGUAAAGAAACACCGGCUAACUACGUG
rnacentral:rRNA from 1 species